rnacentral:tRNA from 1 species
UGGGAUAUAGCCAAGCGGUAAGGCAGCGGGUUUUGAUCCCGUCCCCCCCCAGGUUCGAAUCCUGGUAUCCCAG